UACGAAGGGGGCUAGCGUUGCUCGGAAUCACUGGCGUAAGGGUGCGUAGGCGGGUCUUUAAGUCAGGGGUGAAAUCCUGGAGCUCAACUCCAGAACUGCCUUUGAUACUGAAGAUCUUGAGUUCGGGAGAGGUGAGUGGAACUGCGAGUGUAGAGGUGGAAAUUCGUAGAUAUUCGCAAGAACACCCGUGGCGAAGGCGGCUCACUGGCCCGAUACUGACGCUGAGGCACGAAAGCGUGG
rnacentral:rRNA from 1 species